GAUGAACGCUGGCGGCGUGCUUAACACAUGCAAGUCGAACGGUGAAGCCAAGCUUGCUUGGUGGAUCAGUGGCGAACGGGUGAGUAACACGUGAGCAACCUGCCCUGGACUCUGGGAUAAGCGCUGGAAACGGCGUCUAAUACUGGAUAUGAGACGUGAUCGCAUGGUCAACGUUUGGAAAGAUUUUUCGGUCUGGGAUGGGCUCGCGGCCUAUCAGCUUGUUGGUGAGGUAAUGGCUCACCAAGGCGUCGACGGGUAGCCGGCCUGAGAGGGUGACCGGCCACACUGGGACUGAGACACGGCCCAGACUCCUACGGGAGGCAGCAGUGGGGAAUAUUGCACAAUGGGCGGAAGCCUGAUGCAGCAACGCCGCGUGAGGGAUGACGGCCUUCGGGUUGUAAACCUCUUUUAGCAGGGAAGAAGCGAAAGUGACGGUACCUGCAGAAAAAGCGCCGGCUAACUACGUGCCAGCAGCCGCUGUAAGAC
rnacentral:rRNA from 1 species